rnacentral:rRNA from 1 species
UACGUAGGGGGCGAGCGUUACCCGGAUUUACUGGGCGUAAAGCGCGUGUAGGCGGCUGGUCAAGCGUGGUGUGAAAUCUCCGGGCUCAACCCGGAAACUGCAUUGCGAACUGACCUAGCUGGAGUGCAGGAGAGGGUAGCAGAAUUCAUGGUGUAGCAGUGAAAUGCGUAGAUAUCAUGAGGAAUACCAGAGGCGAAGGCGGCUACCUGGACAAUUGCUGACGCUCAGGCACGAAAGCGUGGGGAGCAAAAGGG